rnacentral:rRNA from 1 species
GCGUCAUCGUAGGAGACUGCGGAGGAUCAUUACCGAAUUGUCAGGCCGGGAUGUGGGGGGUCUCCAGCUGGGGUUACCUGCUUUUUUUGUUUGGCCAUGCCUCCUCCUUUCGGCCUCCACCCUCUGUAGCUCUAUGGUCUGGGGGACUAUAUCUUCCUUCUGUAAUCCUGUCUCUUUACACAUGGUCCAUAUCAAAAUCUUAUGGAAUGUUUGCCUCAACUAUGCCAAAACCUACAACUUUCAUAAUUGAUCUCUUGGCUCUCGCAUCACUCAACAAAGCCCCAAAAUGCCACAAGGAAUGCCAAUUGCCAAUUUCAGAGAUUCAUCGAAUCUUUUAACGCACCUUACGCCCCUUGGCUAUUACGAGGGGCGUCCUUGUUGGAUUAUCGGCAGGAACUCAACUCUCGUGGUUUGCCACCAUGAACUUGGACUCCAACCGUUUUACUGGACUUCCCGGUCACCUCCUCUCAAAUCAAUCAACUGGUCGGUAUCUGGUGGCGUCAUGGGUGCGAUAACUAUCUACCCCAUACAGACGUCCACUGGGCAACCUCCUGUGAUGGAAGUAUGCUGGGGCUCACAAACCUCUCUCUUCAGUGGGGGACAUCUUUUUCAACUUGCGAUCUCCGAUCAAGUGCGACUCCCCGCUGAACUUGACCACAUCACUAAGCGGAGGAAUUCAA